CAGUAAGAGGAAUGAUGUAUUACCGGAAGGCUUUAGAGCUUCAAGCUUUUCUUGAUACUGCUGAGGAUCAAGACCUAAUG